GAAAUUUAAUAGUGACCCAUAUCUCAUUUACCUUCAUCGAGUUCUUUAGAAAAAAUUGUCUCCUCUCCACCAUAUAUACUUUGACAUGGUCCACGACUUGCUCAUUUAUUGAAAGGAGCACUACAUUAAGGAUAACGAUGUGCCAUGGUUUUAUGGCACUUCGAAUGCUUGAAAUUGGAAAUUAUGAAAGUAUUUAGGCCCC
rnacentral:lncRNA from 1 species